UACGGGAGGCAGCAGUGGGGAAUAUUGCACAAUGGAGGAAACUCUGAUGCAGCGACGCCGCGUGAGGGAAGAAGGAUUUCGGAUUGUAAACCGCUUUUAUCAGGGAGGAUAAUGACGGUAGGUGAUGAAUAAGGACCGGCUAACUACGUGCCAGCAGCCGCGGUAAU
rnacentral:rRNA from 1 species